UGGAAAGGUAAAGUCGUAACAAGGUCUCCGUAGGUGAACCUGCGGAGGGAUCAUUA
rnacentral:rRNA from 1 species